CCCCUCUCAGGGUCGCACCUGGAGUUUCUAGUACUCUACCAGUCUCAGCUACAGGAAGAAGAGUCUAGCAGAGGCCUACCCAUUCCAUUCCUAGCUUGGGCAGUAGCUAGCGAGUGGAAGGCAAUCUGCUACAAGU